rnacentral:rRNA from 1 species
UACAGAGGGUGCAAGCGUUGCUCGGAAUCAUUGGGCGUAAAGGGUUGGUAGGUGGUCUCAUUUGUCUGGGGUGAAAGCCUUGAGCUUAACUCAAGAAGUGCCCCGGAAACGGUGAGACUAGAGUCUUGGAGAGGGUCGUGGAAUUCCCGGUGUAGCGGUGAAAUGCGUAGAGAUCGGGAGGAACACCAGAGGCGAAGGCGGCGACCUGGACAAGCACUGACACUGAACAACGAAAGCGUGGGGAGCAAACAGG